GCUUAGCCUUAAACAUUGACAACAACACACACCUGUUGUCCGCCUGGGAACUACGAGCAUUAGCUUAAAACCCAAAGGACUUGGCGGUGCUUUAGAUCCACCUAGAGGAGCCUGUUCUAGAACCGAUAACCCCCGUUCAACCUCACCCUUCCUUGUUUUCCCCCGCCUAUAUACCGCCGUCGUCAGCUUACCCUGUGAAGGAUUUAUAGUAAGCAAAAUUGGUACAACCCUAAACGCCAGGUCGAGGUGUAGCGUAUGGAAGGGGAAGAAAUGGGCUACAUUCUCUAAAAUAGAGAAAACGAAUGACAUACUGAAACGUACAUCUGAAGGAGGAUUUAGCAGUAAGCAGGAAAUAGAGUGUCCCGCUGAAAUUGGCCCUGAAGCGCGC
rnacentral:rRNA from 1 species